rnacentral:tRNA from 1 species
GAGGUUGUAGCUCAGUGGUUGAGCGCUUGCCUGGCAUGUGUGAGGCACUGGGUUCCAUCCUCAGCACCACA